CAUGCCUUCUGCUUCAGUUCCGCCAGGUUCUUGCAGGCAAUCCCGUACUUCUGCUCGAUGUGUAAUGUCCUGGUUUGUAACACCGGAUCUUUUUUCUCGGCGGAGGUACAGCUACUAUACCAUUCUUAUCUCCUGACACGCAUGCUCACUCCUUCCCUGCGCUCUGCCGCAUAACCAAGCGCUCCGGUUCGCAGCCGAACUCCAUCUCCCAGAAUGCUUUGCUUCAAGUCAUUUUGCGCUUGCGCAGUACUUGGGUUGUUGUCAAGCGGUGGUUAUGGAGAUGGGAGAGAAGGAGCGGUGGAACGGGGGCCGGUUCUGUGUAUCGCCUCUGGGACUCGGCCGCUGAUAUUUUGUGCAGCGAUUAAAACUCAGGCCUUGCGACAGAAAGUCCGUCAGGCCUUAGGAGCGGUGAAGUUUGUUUUGUGCUGUGAAUAACUCUGCUUGAACCGGGGGGAUUAUUGCGUGACCUGAAGGAGUUCCCGGCAUUCGCCGCUUCCUGUCUCGUAGCGUCAAGGGCUUUAGAGUCCGGACCUGCAUAAUGCCCCACAAGCUUGGAUUUGUUGUUGUAAGUUCAUCUGGGCAUGAAGAUGGAUUUAGUGCCAAAGAGUUGAUGGUCCAUGCUCCCACUGUCAGUGGCUGGAGAUCUCCAAGGCAGUUUCUAGCAAAAACACAGACAAAAAGUCUCCAAAGAAGUUGGAAAAUGAUGAAAAGGGUCUGAUGGAAUCUGAUGAACAGGAAUUCAUAAGCAAAACCGACAACAUAGCGUCUAAUGAAAGCAAUGCUGGAAACGUUAAUACAUGUCCUUCUGCAUCCCCCUUUUCUGAUUUGAAUGAGGUUUCACGUAAUGGCUUAACAGAUGACCGUGAGGAUGGAGUAGGGUUUAGUCACAAAACAUCCUCUGAGCCCUCUAAAGUAAGAGAGGUUUAUCUGAAUGGCAGUCCAUUUGUAGAUGAAGACAGCAAUCAACCGAUGCCUCUGGGGCUCUUUUUUGAAAAUGCAGAUCUAAUGCAGGACCUGCUGUGCCUUGUUGUGCUUCGAUGCGCAGAAGAGAGUUCAGAAACCUGCAUUUUAGAGCAAAGGAAGAGGAGGAAGAUGAUGAUGAUGAUGACUAUGCUGACGGCUUGGUUAAUGAAGGAAAUAUUUAAAUAAGGAUUCUGCAGAGCCAAGCUUGAAUGUGUGUGUCCGGGGGAAUCCAGAAGUAUAAAUAUUUGUCCCAAUCCUAAACUUCAGAGUCAUGUAAUAAGACACGAAGAACAAUGUUGAUUCAUUAGAGUCUUUAUUAACGUAAUAUUUUAUAUUAAACUCAAAAUGAAGUAGGCUGUUUAAGCCUAAUUUUUCCCCCCCUCCUUGGACCCAACACACUCCCUAGCUAAACCUGACAACUUGCAAUGGUUUGUUUCCACAAGGUAUUUAGCUGUAAAUGUGAGUUGUACAAAUCAAAAAAAAGUUUCUGGAGCUGGGAAUGGAUUUGUGGUAUUUUGAUGUAUAGUAAUUUACAUUUAAUAGGAUACAUCUAGAUCUUCUACAAGUGGUUUAUAUGCGGUAGAUCCUAAACAUAUCUUAGUGCAGCUUUUUUUCUCUCCUUCGAUUGCUUGUGUAAAUUGUUUUUAUUAAAUAAUUUGAAUUUUAAAAAGCUUUAUUCUGAACUGACACCAAAUAACACGGUAAGGCAUAGAUGUAAAAUUAAAUUUUAAGACAGCACUGUAGAAACACUGGUGCCAAAUGAGGUUACAUCUAAACGGUUUAUUAGUGCAUCAAACAUGAACUCUCACGUUCCCCUGGACUCACAAGUAACGUAGCAGCUGCAUGGACAAUGUUUGUAUAGAAUCUCUUUUCUUCUGAGUAUGUUUAUAAAACACCAGAAAAUAUAAGUGCAAUUAUUCUUACUUGUAUCAUAACCAAAGAUAUACAAACUGUUAAGCAAGGAAUAAGAGAUAAAAUUUGAAUUUCCCAAAACUUCAGCAUUUCUAAAAGAAAUCGUACACUUCUAAAAAAAAUGGCAAUGACAAAAUCCAGGAACUCAAGACAGUUCUUAAUAUCUAAAAUGUCAAAUAUUAUAACGCCAGAAAUUAAUGUGUUAAUUUGUAAUAGUUUGAAAGUGCCUGAAAAUCAUUUGUAUGUCACUGGCCCUGACAAAAAUCAAUUACUUAAAGGGGUUGUUCACCUUUAAAUUUACUUUUAGUAUGAUGAUAUUCUGAUACAAUUUACUCUUGGUUUACUUUUUUUUUAUUAUGUUUAUAAUUUUUAAGUUAUUUAGCUUUUUAUUCAGCAGUUCUCUACUUUUCUGUUUCAGCAAUCUGGUUGCUAUUGUCUCAAUUACCCUAACAACCAUUCAUUGAUUUGAACAUGAGACUGCAGUAUGAAUUGGAGAAGGCCUGCAUAGAAAGAUGAGUAAUAAAAGUAGCAAUGACAAUAAAUGUGUAGCCUUACAGAGCAUUUGAUUUUUAGAUGGGGUCAGUGACCCCCAUUUGAAAAUUGUAAAGAGUUAGAGGAAGAGGCCAUAAUCAAAAAAAUACAGAAAAAUAACCCAGAAAAAAUGAAGGCCAAUUCAAAUGUUGCUUAGAAUUCGCCAUUCUAUACAAUACUAAAAUAUGAUUUAAAGAUAAUUCACCUUUAAGUUAAGACCCCUCCCAAACGUCACUGCUGUCUCCAGUACAGUCCUGUUUGCUCUACCUGUUCCCAAAUAGCAGAGUAGCACAGCAGGGGUUAAGGGUGUAGGCAAUUAUUUGAAGAGAAGAUUGAGUGAUGCAAGAUGGAGCCAACAACCCCUGCUGUACUCCUCUGUCGUUUGGAAACAGGUAGGGCACAAUAGGUAGGGUCCUUACCUAAUGAAAUGACAUUCAUAUUCCAUUCAUAUUUCCAUUUUUCUUUUUAAUGGGAUAUUUUACACACAUUUAUUUACAUGCUUGGUUCAUAAACCAGUUUAUAUACAGGUCCUUUUCAACUUAGGCCUCCAGUUUUGCUUUCUGUAAUAAUAUAAACUAUUCUAUUAUCUACUUACACAAUUAGAAUAUUCUGAUUAAUGCAAACAGAAUGGGGGACUCCUUUCCCAGUCUUGAGAUACACUGGAAUAUAAGGGAAGCGAUUAGAAAGAUUUAUAACAAAUCUUUAAUGUUGAGUUUAUUUGCUGAUCAGAAUUAUAAAUAUGCACAAAAUCUGUUAAGGAUCCGUCCUGUGUAUUGACAAAUAACGUCAGGUAACUUGUAAUUGGUAUAUAAGGGUGUUUUUUGUUAAAGACUGUACUAGUGAUUUGGGCUUGUCCUGCAUUUCUGGUACAUUUCAUUUCUUGUAGAGGCCCAAAGGGCACAUGUAAUUUAUGUUGACAACACGCUUUAUGACCAAAAUAAAUAUUGAUUGUUCUGUA